rnacentral:rRNA from 1 species
AUGAACGCUGGCGGCGUGCCUAAUACAUGCAAGUCGAGCGAACAGACGAGGAGCUUGCUCCUCUGACGUUAGCGGCGGACGGGUGAGUAACACGUGGAUAACCUACCUAUAAGACUGGGAUAACUUCGGGAAACCGGAGCUAAUACCGGAUAAUAUAUUGAACCGCAUGGUUCAAUAGUGAAAGACGGUUUUGCUGUCACUUAUAGAUGGAUCCGCGCCGCAUUAGCUAGUUGGUAAGGUAACGGUUUACCAAGGCAACGAUGCGUAGCCGACCUGAGAGGGUGAUCGGCCACACUGGAACUGAGACACGGUCCAGACUCCUACGGGAGGCAGCAGUAGGGAAUCUUCCGCAAUGGGCGAAAGCUUGACGGAGCAACGCCGCGUGAGUGAUGAAGGUCUUCGGAUCGUAAAACUCUGUUAUUAGGGAAGAACAAAUGUGUAAGUAACUAUGCACGUCUUGACGGUACCUAAUCAGAAAGCCACGGCUAACUACGUG